rnacentral:rRNA from 1 species
GUGCCAGCCGCCGCGGUAAUACGUAGGAUCCGAGCGUUGUCCGGAAUUACUGGGUGUAAAGGGCGUGUAGGUGGGCUUUUGAGUCGGUGGUGAAAUCCUGCAGCUCAACUGCAGAAUUGCCAUCGAUACUGGAAGUCUUGAGUACGGCAGAGGGAGACGGAAUUCAUGGUGUAGCGGUGAAAUGUGUAGAUAUCAUGAAGAACACCGGUUGCGAAGGCGGUUUCCUGGUCCGUUACUGACACUGAGGCGCGAAAGCGUGGGGAGCAAACAGGAUUAGAAACCCCCGUAGUCC